UACGUAGGGUGCGAGCGUUAAUCGGAAUUACUGGGCGUAAAGCGUGCGCAGGCGGUGAUGUAAGACAGGUGUGAAAUCCCCCGGGCUUAACCUGGGAACUGCAUUUGUGACUGCAUCGCUGGAGUGCGGCAGAGGGGGAUGGAAUUCCGCGUGUAGCAGUGAAAUGCGUAGAUAUGCGGAGGAACACCGAUGGCGAAGGCAAUCCCCUGGGCCUGCACUGACGCUCAUGCACGAAAGCGUGGGGAGCAAACAGG
rnacentral:rRNA from 1 species